GCAGAUCCCAGGGACUUCCCUUUGAUUAACCCGAAUUAUUUUUCUGAUCCCGAUGACUUGGAAACAUUAUACAAAGCAGUGGAAAUUGCUAAAAAUUUGGAAAACACAACAGCGUUUCAACGUAUGGGAGUCCAACCAAUCAUCCUAGAACUUCCAGAUUGCGACGAAAAUUAUGAAAGACUUUCAAAGGAUUGGUGGAUUUGCAGCAUGCAAUAUCUAACAACUGCGGGUCUGCAUUCCAUUGGAACUACAAGAAUGGGAAAUGAUACACAAAACUCCGUAGUGAGUUCAACACUCAAAGUUCACGGUAUCGAUAAGUUACGAGUGGUUGAUGCCGGAGUGAUUCCUCAACAAGUAUCAGGACAUACCAGUACUCCCGUGAUGAUGAUUGCGGAAAAAGCAGCCGAUUUUAUUAAGAAUGAAUACUCUUGAACAUAAAAAGUCUGUUUUUACCUAUUGUUCAACAAAUAUUAUUUUUGUACUUAUUCUACUACUACGUCACUAAUGUAGGACAGCAUGAAGUAAUAAACAAGUUCCAAAGACC